rnacentral:rRNA from 1 species
AGGACGAACGCUGCGGCGUGCUUAACACAUGCAAGUCGAGCGAGAACCGCAGCGGGGUAACCCACCUGCGGGGAAAGCGGCGAACGGGUGAGUAACACGUGGGCAACCUGCCCCAGGCUCUGGGAUAACCUCGGGAAACCGGGGCUAAUACCGGGUACUCUCAGCGGAUCGCAUGGUCCGGUGAGGAAAGCUCCGGCGGCCUGGGAUGGGCCCGCGGCCUAUCAGCUUGUUGGUGGGGUAACGGCCCACCAAGGCAUCGACGGGUAGUUGGCGUGAGAGCGUGGCCAACCACACUGGGACUGAGACACGGCCCAGACUCCUACGGGGGGCAGCAGUGGGGAAUCUUGGGCAAUGGGCGAAAGCCUGACCCAGCGACGCCGCGUGGGGGAUGAAGGCCUUCGGGUUGUAAACCCCUUUCAGCGGGGACGAAGCGAAAGUGACGGUACCCGCAGAAGAAGCCCCGGCUA